UACAGAGGUCUCGAGCGUUAGGCGGAAUCACUGGGCUUAAAGCGUGUGUAGGCGGAUCGUUAAGUACCUUGUGAAAUCCCACGGCUCAACCGUGGAACUGCUGGGUAUACUGGCGGUCUUGAGCCACCUAGGGGCAACUGGAACAAGCGGUGGAGCGGUGAAAUGCGUAGAUAUCGCUUGGAACGCCAACGGUGAAAACAGGUUGCUGGGGGUGUGCUGACGCUGAGACACGAAAGCCAGGGGAGCGAACGGG
rnacentral:rRNA from 1 species